GAUGAACGCUGGCGGCGUGCCUAAUACAUGCAAGUCGAGCGAACAGAUAAGGAGCUUGCUCCUUUGACGUUAGCGGCGGACGGGUGAGUAACACGUGGGUAACCUACCUAUAAGACUGGGAUAACUUCGGGAAACCGGAGCUAAUACCGGAUAAUAUUUCGAACCGCAUGGUUCGAUAGUGAAAGAUGGUUUUGCUAUCACUUAUAGAUGGACCCGCGCCGUAUUAGCUAGUUGGUAAGGUAACGGCUUACCAAGGCGACGAUACGUAGCCGACCUGAGAGGGUGAUCGGCCACACUGGAACUGAGACACGGUCCAGACUCCUACGGGAGGCAGCAGUAGGGAAUCUUCCGCAAUGGGCGAAAGCCUGACGGAGCAACGCCGCGUGAGUGAUGAAGGUCUUCGGAUCGUAAAACUCUGUUAUUAGGGAAGAACAUACGUGUAAGUAACUGUGCACGUCUUGACGGUACCUAAUCAGAAAGUCACGGCUAACUACGUGCCAGCAGCCGCGGUAAUACGUAGGUGGCAAGCGUUAUCCGGAAUUAUUGGGCGUAAAGCGCGCGUAGGCGGUUUUUUAAGUCUGAUGUGAAAGCCCACGGCUCAACCGUGGAGGGUCAUUGGAAACUGGAAAACUUGAGUGCAGAAGAGGAAAGUGGAAUUCCAUGUGUAGCGGUGAAAUGCGCAGAGAUAUGGAGGAACACCAGUGGCGAAGGCGACUUUCUGGUCUGUAACUGACGCUGAUGUGCGAAAGCGUGGGGAUCAAACAGGAUUAGAUACCCUGGUAGUCCACGCCGUAAACGAUGAGUGCUAAGUGUUAGGGGGUUUCCGCCCCUUAGUGCUGCAGCUAACGCAUUAAGCACUCCGCCUGGGGAGUACGACCGCAAGGUUGAAACUCAAAGGAAUUGACGGGGACCCGCACAAGCGGUGGAGCAUGUGGUUUAAUUCGAAGCAACGCGAAGAACCUUACCAAAUCUUGACAUCCUUUGACAACUCUAGAGAUAGAGCUUUCCCCUUCGGGGGACAAAGUGACAGGUGGUGCAUGGUUGUCGUCAGCUCGUGUCGUGAGAUGUUGGGUUAAGUCCCGCAACGAGCGCAACCCUUAAGCUUAGUUGCCAUCAUUAAGUUGGGCACUCUAAGUUGACUGCCGGUGACAAACCGGAGGAAGGUGGGGAUGACGUCAAAUCAUCAUGCCCCUUAUGAUUUGGGCUACACACGUGCUACAAUGGACAAUACAAAGGGCAGCGAAACCGCGAGGUCAAGCAAAUCCCAUAAAGUUGUUCUCAGUUCGGAUUGUAGUCUGCAACUCGACUACAUGAAGCUGGAAUCGCUAGUAAUCGUAGAUCAGCAUGCUACGGUGAAUAAGGUCCCGGGUCU
rnacentral:rRNA from 1 species